CGCGCUCCCGGUGCGAUUCGCGCCCGGGCCUUGCGUCGCUCGUUCCCUCUGUUCCCCGCAGACUUGUCGGUCCCUCCAGACCCUUCGAACCCCUUGCCUCGGGCAGCUUCUGCCAGUACCCAGCCCUCGUCCCGAGCGAAGCGGUCCAGAGGGGCGCGGCCCGCCCACCGCGCUCCCAAAGCCGCACGGCGCCUGGAAUAUGAAGCAAGGCCUGAAAGGCGUUGUGAGGAAAAUCAAAUGUAUUUCAGUGGGGUUAUAAUCUACCAGGAAACUUGCAUGCACCUCGCAAACCUCUCUGAGCUGACAGGAGACUGCAGCUUAUCCGCUGUCAUCGUGGUUUUGUGACAUGGAUGUGGAGCCACAGAAGCAGCCAAAACAACACAACUGAGAAGCUGGCACAGAAACAACUUGUUUUUUCCUUUGUGAUGCCAGCAGCAGAAGCAAUCUGGAAAGGAGGUUUAGCACAGGUUAAUGUAGUUCUAUUCCCAACAGAGAAUUUAUAUUCUCAGUAGCUGUCACUGUCGAGGCGGUCGCGACACAAAGCAGAGACCACAAGCAGUCUCAGUUGGCAACUGUUUAUUAUCGAACAUGGCUGACCUUUUAUACACUCUCUGAUUGUUUAUGCUUCUUCUACCCUAACUAUUGGACACAAUAAAUCAACAUAACACCA